GACGCGGUAGCGCAGUGGUUUUGUAGACUUGACUUGGGAUCAAGUGGUCCUCAGUUCGAGGCCUUGCCAUGGCC